rnacentral:rRNA from 1 species
AACGAACGCUGGCGGCAGGCCUAAUACAUGCAAGUCGAGCGCCCAGCAAUGGGAGCGGCGCACGGGUGCGUAACGCGUGGGAAUAUGCCUUUAGGUACGGAACAACCAAGGGAAACUUUGGCUAAUACCGUAUAAUAUCUUCGGAUCAAAGAAUUUCGCCUAAAGAUUAGCCCGCGUCUGAUUAGCUAGUUGGUGGGGUAAAGGCCUACCAAGGCGUCGAUCAGUAGCUGGUCUGAGAGGAUGAUCAGCCACACUGGAACUGAGACACGGUCCAGACUCCUACGGGAGGCAGCAGUAAGGAAUAUUGGACAAUGGGGGCAACCCUGAUCCAGCCAUGCCGCGUGAGUGACGAAGGCCUUAGGGUUGUAAAGCUCUUUUGGUGGGGAAGAUAAUGACUGUACCCACAGAAUAAGCCCCGGCUAAAUUCGUGCCAGCCGCCGCCGUAA